UCAAGCUGCCCAGGAUAACGGGGAGGAGGGUGGGGAUGACGUCAAGUCAGCAUGGCCUUUAUGCCUGGGGCCACACACGUGCUACAAUGGCCGGUACAAAGCGCUGCAAACA
rnacentral:rRNA from 1 species